AUUUCUUAAUUCCUCUAGCACUGCUGGGUUAGGGUCUCCCCGACUGAGUUGGUCUCGGCACUAGUCUGUGUCCCUGGCUUGCCCUUCCCUCCAACUCUGUCCUGCAGGAUCUCUCUCUCUCAUUAAUAAUAACUAGCUUUUCCAUAUGAGCCAUCCAACUCUGUCGGCUGGGAACUUCUACCCUCAUUGCCUUCUUUGGGUUUUCAGACAGUUAUAGGAGUCAGAGCAGAUAUUCAAAUUCUCAUUUUACAGGUGAGCAAGUUGAGGUUCUGGGAGGACAUAAUAGUUAGUAGGUGGCAGGGCUGGGACUUGAAAGCAGAACUUCUGCCUCCAUAUCUGUGCACACAGCACCACCUCUGCAGUCCCUGUACCAUGAUUUUCUUUGUGCCUUGCUCUCUGUUGUUUUCCAGAACAGUCCUUAGAGGUAAAGUGGACACUUCAUCUGCCUUACCAGUGCCCAUGCACGUCCUCAUCUUCCUUACCAAGAGAACCCAGAACUGGUUCAGAGAUCCAGGCCUCCCACCUCAGGUGACUCCACCCUCAGACUGAUCUGAGGAUAAUCCCAUUCCCCCUAACAAUGGGAAGGGCCAUGUGAACCAAUUCUGGCCAAUGAGAGAGGGAAAAGAGUCUGUUAGGAAACUUAGGGAAAACCUCUCCUCUCUUCUAAGAGACUCAUAAGAAGAGAGCUUCUCUUCCUCCUCUGGACGCUGUCCUGUGUGUAGCACUCAGGACUGCUGAAGACAUCUAGGUAACAGCUUGAAGGUGAAACCAGCACUGAGGUUUCCUGAUUCCUGGGUGGAGCGCAGACUGGAGCCUAAGCCCUGACAGCAUGGGACUUGCAGCUCAAGUAUAUCUGUGCUUCACUGGAAGAGUUGAAAGAGCUGGAGACUGUCUGUGAUCAAUGAGCCCCUGUCACUCUCAUGACACUUUCCUGAACCAUUUCACCAGCACUCAGAAGAUGAAGACUGUGCUCUACCUGUUCCUUCUCUGAAGCUAGAAGAUCUGGUGUUUCGACUUUGCCCCAGCCAACUGACCACAUUGAGUGAUGUGCUUAGUUUACACUGAAUACCAAGAGAUGGGUGGGAUUGCUGUGCAUAUAUAUUAGCAGGAUUUUGGCUGGAGGCCACUUGUGACCUCUAUUGAAUGUAACUUCCUCACUCAGGAGUUGAUAUGGAACCACUCACUCCUAUUGGCUCAGUGCCCAGAAGGCCUCAGAGAGAGCCCACAAGAUCAACCCGACAGACCCCGGCUUUCCAAAUAAAGAAACGCACCCCCCCCACCCCAGGGUAGGGGUCUUUGUGGGUCCUGCCUACACCCUCCUAGGAUUGCUUUCAGGGGCUCAGAAAAUUAGCAGUGAUGUCCAUGGCCACUACCUGAGCAGCGUAUGCUUCCAUGUGAGGCCGGGUUAUGGCAGAGCUGUGAUUUGUCCUUGGAAUCUAGGCCACAUCCCCAACACCCAUAGGCUUCCCCAAGCAUGGCAAGGAAAGGGGGACUCAGGGAACCCACUGCCCUUACCACACCCCAACCCUUGGUCAUAAAUAGGGGAGUUCUGAAACUGAAGGUGGUGAGCUCCCGCCUCCAGACUGAAGUGAUGAUAGAACUCAGUGCCUCUUUAUCUUCAGAUCAAAUCUUAUGACACCAGGCCCAGCCGCUUACCUGAAUCAAGGCUGAGUCAGUGUGAGUAAAUAGGACCAAUGGUCACUCCCAAGUAGAACACUAAGCCACCCUUAGGAGAUCUGCACGAAGUGAUGGGCGCUGUCCAUUGUACCUGCUUUGUGCCUUCCCCUGCUCCAUAGCCUGGCCUGGCUGGAAGCACACAGCUGUCAUCUCUGGGAACAUUCCAUUCUCUGCCCUCCUCCUGCCUUCAACCAUGCACACUGCCUGUGACCUCAUCUCCUCUGUCCUCAGGGACUGUCACAACCAUCUGCCUAUCAUAUUUUGGAGUUGACUAUGAAAUGAACAAGGAUCCUGAAUCUUAGUUCUUCCAGAAAGAUAGAUUUCCUCUUAUGGUGUGAAACUAUGGUCUUCCCAAAACGCACAGGUGCCAAUCUUCAGAGGGGCCACAAUGUCAUCAUGAAGGUGAAAUAUGGGCUUCAUGGUACACGUUUACCUGGAUAAGCAUGGUUCAUAUAAGGAAUCCAGAAUAAGAUGGACUGAAGAUUCCCUCAGGACUCCUUUCUCAGAUUUCCUGCUCCAACCUGUGUUAAAGGGGGCCACUAGACCAUUUAGAAUACCCUGCUAUUUUCUUUGUCAUUUAACUUUAUUUAUAAGUAUAUAAAAUAUAGAAAAUAAUACAGAGAAAAAUUAAACAAAUACCCACGGCCCAUCUCAGGAAAUGAAACAUUAUAAAUACAACAGAAGGCCUCUGUGUGACUCUCCUAGAUCCAACUCCCCAUCUACCUUCCCUCCUCAGAGAUAACCACCACCUGCAACGAAUAUUCCCAAGCUAGAUAUUAUGCUUCCAGCACAUGUGGGAAAGCAAACAUCA
rnacentral:lncRNA from 1 species